UACGUAGGGCGCAAGCGUUGUCCGGAAUUAUUGGGCGUAAAGGGCUCGUAGGCGGUUUGUCGCGUCGGGAGUGAAAUCCACUGGCUUAACUGGUGGCUUGCUUUCGAUACGGGCAGACUGGAGGUAUGCAGGGGAGAACGGAAUUCCUGGUGUAGCGGUGAAAUGCGCAGAUAUCAGGAGGAACACCGGUGGCGAAGGCGGUUCUCUGGGCAUGUCCUGACGCUGAGACGCGAAGGCGUGGGGAGCGAACGGG
rnacentral:rRNA from 1 species